UGGAAACUGUNUGACUUGAGUGCAGAAGGGGAGAGUGGAAUUCCAUGUGUAGCGGUGAAAUGCGUAGAUAUAUGGAGGAACACCAGUGGCGAAAGCGGCUCUCUGGUCUGUCACUGACGCUGAGGCUCGAAAGCGUGGGUAGCGAACAGGAUUAGAUACCCUGGUAGUNCACGCCGUAAACGAUGAGUGCUAGGUGUUAGGCCCUUUCCGGGGCUUAGUGCCGGAGCUAACGCAAUAAGCACUCCGCCUGGGGAGUACGACCGCAAGGUUGAAACUCAAAGGAAUUGACGGGGGCCCGCACAAGCGGUGGAGCAUGUGGUUUAAUUCGAAGCAACGCGAAGAACCUUACCAGGUCUUGACAUCCCGAUGCUAUUCUUAGAGAUAGGAAGUUACUUCGGUACAUCGGAGACAGGUGGUGCAUGGUUGUCGUCAGCUCGUGUCGUGAGAUGUUGGGUUAAGUCCCGCAACGAGCGCAACCCUUAUUGUUAGUUGCCAUCAUUAAGUUGGGCACUCUAGCGAGACUGCCGGUAAUAAACCGGAGGAAGGUGGGGAUGACGUCAAAUCAUCAUGCCCCUUAUGACCUGGGCUACACACGUGCUACAAUGGUCGGUACAACGAGUUGCGAGCCGGUGACGGCAAGCUAAUCUCUGAAAGCCGAUCUCAGUUCGGAUUGGAGGCUGCAACUCGCCUCCAUGAAGUCGGAAUCGCUAGUAAUCGCGGAUCAGCACGCCGCGGUGAAUACGUUCCCGGGCCUUGUACACACCGCCCGUCACACCACGAGAGUUUGUAACACCCGAA
rnacentral:rRNA from 1 species